rnacentral:rRNA from 1 species
AAAGGAAUUGACGGGGGCCCGCACAAGCAGCGGAGCAUGUGGUUUAAUUCGAAGCAACGCGAAGAACCUUACCAGGUCUUGACAUCCAGUAAAACCCUGAGAGAUCAGGUGUGCCUUCGGGCAUACUGAGACAGGUGGUGCAUGGUUGUCGUCAGCUCGUGUCGUGAGAUGUUGGGUUAAGUCCCGCAACGAGCGCAACCCUUACUAUUUGUUGCUAACGCGUAGAGGCGAGGACUCAAAUGGGACUGCCGGGGACAACUCGGAGGAAGGUGGGGACGACGUCAAAUCAUCAUGCCCCUUAUGACCUGGGCUACACACGUGCUACAAUGGCCACUACAGAGAGCUGCGAACUCGCAAGAGCAAGCGAAUCUCAAAAAAGUGGUCCCAGUUCGGAUUGUGGGCUGCAACCCGCCCACAUGAAGUCGGAGUUGCUAGUAAUCGCGAAUCAGCAUGUCGCGGUGAAUACGUUCCCGGGCCUUGUACACACCGCCCGU